rnacentral:rRNA from 1 species
CCUACGGGAGGCAGCAGUGAGGAAUAUUGGUCAAUGGACGGAAGUCUGAACCAGCCAUGCCGCGUGCAGGAAGACGGCUCUAUGAGUUGUAAACUGCUUUUGUACAAGGGUAAACCUGAAUACGUGUAUGCAGCUGAAAGGACUGUACGAAUAAGGAUCGGCGAACUCCGUGCCAGCAGACGCGGUAAUACGGAGGAGCCAAGCGUUAUCCGGAUUUAUUGGGUUUAAAGGGUGCGUAGGCGGAUUGGUAAGGUAGAGGUGAAAUGUCCGAGCUUAACUCGGGAACUGCCUCUAAUACUGUUGCUCUAGCGCGUAGCUGCGGUAGGCGGAAUGUAUGGUGUAGCGG